rnacentral:rRNA from 1 species
GAUGAACGCUAGCUACAGGCUUAACACAUGCAAGUCGAGGGGAAACGACAUCGAAAGCUUGCUUUUGAUGGGCGUCGACCGGCGCACGGGUGAGUAACGCGUAUCCAACCUGCCCAUCACUUGGGGAUAACCUUGCGAAAGUAAGACUAAUACCCGAUGAUAUCUCUAUAAGACAUCUGAAAGGGAUUAAAGAUUUAUCGGUGAUGGAUGGGGAUGCGUCUGAUUAGCUUGUUGGCGGGGUAACGGCCCACCAAGGCAACGAUCAGUAGGGGUUCUGAGAGGAAGGUCCCCCACAUUGGAACUGAGACACGGUCCAAACUCCUACGGGAGGCAGCAGUGAGGAAUAUUGGUCAAUGGGCGAGAGCCUGAACCAGCCAAGUAGCGUGCAGGACGACGGCCCUAUGGGUGUAAACUGCUUUUAUAAGGGAAUAAAGUGAGUCUCGUGAGGCUUUUUGCAUGUACCUUAUGAAUAAGGACCGGCUAAUUCCGUG